rnacentral:rRNA from 1 species
UACGUAGGGUGCGAGCGUUGUCCGGAAUUAUUGGGCGUAAAGCGCGCGCAGGCGGUCCUUUAAGUCUGAUGUGAAAAGCCCACGGCUCAACCGUGGAGGGUCAUUGGAAACUGGGGGGACUUGAGUACAGAAGAGAAGAGUGGAAUUCCACGUGUAGCGGUGAAAUGCGUAGAGAUGUGGAGGAACACCAGUGGCGAAGGCGACUCUUUGGUCUGUAACUGACGCUGAGGCGCGAAAGCGUGGGGAGCAAACAGG